UACGUAGGGUGCAAGCGUUAAUCGGAAUUACUGGGCGUAAAGCGUGCGCAGGCGGUUUUGUAAGUUUGUCGUGAAAUCCCCGGACUUAACCUGGGAAUUGCGAUGAAGACUGCAAGGCUAGAAUCUGGCAGAGGGGGGUAGAAUUCCACGUGUAGCAGUGAAAUGCGUAGAGAUGUGGAGGAACACCGAUGGCGAAGGCAGCCCCCUGGGUCAAGAUUGACGCUCAUGCACGAAAGCGUGGGGAGCAAACAGG
rnacentral:rRNA from 1 species